rnacentral:rRNA from 1 species
CGGCCUAUGGGUUGUAACUGCUUUUGUACGGGAAGAACUACAUUUACGUGUAAAUGUUGACGGUACCGUAAGAAAUAAGGGAUCGGCUAACUCCGUGCCAGCAGCCGCGGUAAUACGGAGGAUCCGAGCGUUAUCCGGGAUUAUUGGGUUUAAAGGGUGCGCAGGCGGGUAUAUAAGUCAGAGGUGAAAUUUCCACGGCUCAACUGUGGGACUGCCUUUGAUACUGCAUAUCUAGAGUAUAUUUGGAGUGGGCGGAAUGUAGCAUGUAGCGGUGAAAUGCUUAGAUAUGCUACAGAACACCGAUCGUGAAGACAGCUCACUAAACUAUAACUGACGCUCAGGCACGAAAGCGUGGGGAGCAAACAGGAUUAGAUACCCUGGUAGUCCACGCCGUAAACGAUGAUUACUCGCUGUUGGCGAUACACAGUCAGCGGCUAAGCGAAAGUGAUAAGUAAUCCACCUGGGGAGUACGAUCGCAAGAUUGAAACUCAAAGGAAUUGACGGGGGCCCGCACAAGCGGAGGAGCAUGUGGUUUAAUUCGAUGAUACGCGAGGAACCUUACCUGGGCUCGAACGUAGUGUGACUAAGUGUGAAAGCAUUUAUUUCUUCGGAACAGACUACGAGGUGCUGCAUGGUUGUCGUCAGCUCGUGCCGUGAGGUGUUAGGUUAAGUCCUGCAACGAGCGCAACCCCUAUUCUUAGUUGCCAGCAUGUUAUGAUGGGGACUCUAAGAAAACUGCCUACGCAAGUAGUGAGGAAGGCGGGGAUGACGUCAAAUCAGCACGGCCCUUACGUCCAGGGCUACACACGUGCUACAAUGGCCGGUACAGAGGGCAGCUACAUAGUGAUAUGAUGCGAAUCUCGAAAGCCGGUCUCAGUUCGGAUUGGAGUCUGCAACUCGACUCCAUGAAGUUGGAUUCGCUAGUAAUCGCGCAUCAGCCAUGGCGCGGUGAAUACGUUCCCGGGCCUUGUACACACCGCCCGUCAAGCCAUGGAAGCUUGGGGUACCUGAAGUCCGUGACCCACAAGGAGCGGCCUA